rnacentral:lncRNA from 1 species
AAACAAGGACAUAUACUCGAAUAAUUGGUUACUAACUAAUCUUAUGUGAGGUCAUUUUGGUUUUAUGAAAUUAAAACAGGAUUAAAAUAACUGUAUAUUUUUGGUUGAUUAGAUAUAAUAGUGUAUAAUAAUACUAUAUUCUUCCUAACUUCUUCUAUUUUGAAAAGUAUGUCCCUCCUUUUAUAUGAUUAAUUAAAUUUUUUAACUCUGUUAAGUUAUUCUUGUACCAAAAUGUUACUAUAAUAUGAGUUACUAAAAACCCAAAACUAAACCUUAUGUGACUAUCAAUAAUCAAGGACAUAUACUCGAAUAAUUGGUUACUAACUAAUCUUAUGUGAGGUCAUUUUGGUUUUAUGAAAUUAAAACAGGAUUAAAAUAACUGUACAUUUUUGGUUGAUUAGAUAUAAUAGUGUAUAAUAAUACUAUAUUCUUCCUAGCUAGCUUCUUCUAUUUUGAAAAGUAUGUCCCUCCUUUUAUAUGAUUAAUUAAAUUUUUUAACUCUGUUAAGUUAUUCUUGUACCAAAAUGUUACUAUAAUAUGAGUUACUAAAAACCCAAAACUAAACCUUAUGUGACUAUCAAUAAUCAAGGACAUAUACUCGAAUAAUUGGUUACUAACUAAUCUUAUGGGAGGUCAUUUUGGUUUUAUGAAAUUAAAACAAGAUUAAAAUAACGGUAUAUUUUUGGUUGAUUAGAUAUAAUAGUGUAUAAUAAUACUAUAUUCUUCCCAGCUUCUUCUAUUUUGAAAAGUAUGUCCCUCCUUUUAUAUGAUUAAUUAAAUUUUUUAACU